rnacentral:rRNA from 1 species
AUUGAACGCUGGCGGCAUGCUUUACACAUGCAAGUCGAACGAGUGGCGGACGGGUGAGUAAUAUUUUGGAAUCUGCCUAGUGAUGGGGGAUAACCAAUGGAAAGUUUCGCUAAUACCGCAUACCAUUCGAUCGGCCCAAGUCGGAUUAGCUAGUUGGUGGGGUAAUGGCCUACCAAGGCGACGAUCACUAGCGGGUCUGGGAGGAUGACGUGCCACACUGGGACUGAGAAACGGCCCGGACUCCUACGGGAGGCAGCAGUGGGUAAUUUUGCGCAAUGGGGGCAAGCCUGAAGCAGCCAUGCCGCGUGAAUGAAGAAGGCCUUCGGGUUGUAAAGGACUUUUGGUAACGAAGCGGUAAUCACAGAAGAAGCACCGGCUAACUCCGUGCCAGCAGCCGCGGUAAUAC